GCCGUAUUUUGUGGAUGCCUUAGGUUCAUAUGCACAAUGGGCGCUUUACGAUGCGAAACGUUGUAUCUGAGACAUCAUUCUGAUAGGUACAAAUCCCCACAGCGGUAAACCGCAAUAUUUUGACACGAGGAGAACUGAAACAUCUAAAUAUCCUCUAGGAAAAGAAAUCAACCGAGAUUCCGUUAGUAUUGGCGAAAGAACGCGGACAAGGCAUAUGAUUAUGAAAUUGAAAAACAUGUUGGAAUACAUAGACCAAAGAAGGUAAAAGUCCUGUAUUAUGCCUUUCAUAAUCAUCAAGAGUAGAACGUUAGACUGUUUGAAAAUAGGAGAACCACCUUCUAAGCCUACAUAUGCAUAUGAGACCGAUAGUGAACAAGUACUGUGAAGGAAAGGUGAAAAGAACCCUCUUGUAUAGGGAGUGAAAAGAUCUGAAACAAAAUACAUACAAUCAAUCGAUAUAUUAAAAAAAUGUAUCGGUGUACCUUUUGCAUAAUGGGUCAGCGACUAAAUGUGUGCAGCUUGCUUAAGCAACGAUGUGGAGGCAAAGCAAAAGCGAGUAGGUUUUCCUGCGUUUGUUGCAUGCAUUUGACCCGAAACUAAGUGAUCUCGUUUUGAGCAGGUUGAAGAAAGCGUAAAGUCUUUUGGAGGACCGAACCGACGUCUGUAGCAAUAGGCGCGGAUGACUUGAUACGAGGGGUGAAAGGCCAAUCAAACUUAGAAAUAGCUGGUUCUUCGCGAAAUUUAUUGAGGUAAAGCGUCUAUUAAAUCUUUCUGGGGGUAGAGCACUUAUUGAGCUAUGGGGGUCCAAAACCUUACUGCUCUCAAGAAAACUCCGAAUACCAGUAAAGUAUAAUAGGCAGACAGACAAGCGGUGCUAAGGUCGCUUGUCGAAAGGGAAACAGCCCAGCCUGGCCGCUAAGGUCCCAAAGCAUUCUGUGAGUGGGAAAAGAUGUGAUACAACUAUGACAACUAGGAGGUUGGCUUGGAAGCAGCCAUUCUAUCAUGAAAGCGUAAUAGCUCACUAGUCGAGUUGUGUUGCGCUGAAAAUGUAUCGGGGCUGAACAGAAUCACCGAAGCGCCAGUUUUUAAGUAGCGAAGCGUUUUGUGCGCCAAUGAACAUACAUCGUAAGAUUUGUGGAAGGUCUCAAAAGUGACUAUGCUGACAUGAGUAACGAAAAAUCAUGUAAAGCCAUGAUCGCCGUAAGUCCAAGGGUUUCUGCUAACUGGGAAUCAGUGCAGAGUUAAGUUCGGUCCCUAAGAGUUUGUAUACACUUAUACGCUCGAUGGAGGACGUUUAUGCAAGACGGCUAUUAUACACAAAUACUGCAAAUUGGAUACGGUGUAUGUGUGUUGUAGUCCAGGAAAAAAGCAUUAAUGCAAGACCGUACCCGAAACCGACACAGGUGGACGAGUCGAGUAGACUCAGGCGUUGAGUGAACCAUAUUGAAGGAACUCGGCAAAAUAAUCCCGUAACUUAGGAAGAAGGGAUACCGAAAGGUGACACAAAAAUGGGGGUGACGACUUUUUACUAAAAAAUUAGGACUCUGCAAAAUGGUAACAUGCUGUAUAGGGUCUGACGUCUGCCCGGUGCUAGAAGUCUAAAAGGCGCAUUGCAAGAUGCAAAUGGAAAGCCUAGUAAACGGCGGUUGUAACUAUAACAAUCAUAAAGUAGCGAAAUUCAUUGCCAGCUAAUUCCUGGCCUGCAUGAAAGACGUAACGAUUGCCCCACUGUCUCCAGUAUGGACUCAGUGAAAUUGAAUUCUCCGUGCAGAUGCGGAGAACGUGCCCCAAGACGAGAAGACCCUAUGCAUCUUUACUGUACAUUUACACUGGAAAAAAGCUUAAAUUGUGUAGGAUAGGUGGGAGUUGACAACAACCUUGAAAUACCACCCUUUUUAAGAAGAGUUCCUUAUUUGAACAAGGUUCAAAAACACUGUAUAUGAGGCAGUUUGACUGGGGCGGUCGCCUCCCAAAGAGUAACGGAGGUGUGCGAAGGUAAACUCAAUGAAAGACGGAAACUUUCUGUAGAGCGUAAUGGUAAAAGUUUGCCUGACUGCGAGAGUGACACCUCGAGCAGAGACGAAAGUCGGCCAUAGUGAUCCAAAAGUGCUGCGUGGAAAGACUUUUGCUUAACGAAUCAAAGAUACGCUAGGGAUAACAGGCUAAUAAUUCCCAAGAGCCCUUAUCGACGGAAUUGUUUGGCACCUCGAUGUUGACUGAUCAUAUCCUGGGGCUGAAAAAGGUCCCAAGGGUUCGGCUGUUCGCCGAUAAAAAUGGUACCUGAGUUGAGUUUAGAACGUCGUGAGACAGUUUGGAUUCUACCUGGGGUGCGCGCGAAGAAUUGAGAAAACCAUUUCCUUGUACGAGAGGACCGGAAAUGUUCAACCUCUGGUGCACUGGUUGUUCUGCCAAGAGCAUGGCCAGGUAGCUACGUUGAGAGAGGAGAACCGUUGAAAGCAUCUUAAAUGGGAAACUUUUUUCAAGACAAAUUCUUAGACCCACGUGAAAGUCUCUCACGUCGAUAGGCGAAGCGUGAACCUUUUGAAAAAAAGAAGCUGAUUCGUACUAAAAUGACCCUUAUAGCUAAAAUG
rnacentral:rRNA from 1 species